GACGAACGCUGGCGGCGUGCUUAACACAUGCAAGUCGAACGGAAAGGCCCUGCUUUUGUGGGGUGCUCGAGUGGCGAACGGGUGAGUAACACGUGAGUAACCUGCCCUUGACUUUGGGAUAACUUCAGGAAACUGGGGCUAAUACCGGAUAGGAGCUCCUGCUGCAUGGUGGGGGUUGGAAAGUUUCGGCGGUUGGGGAUGGACUCGCGGUUUAUCAGCUUGUUGGUGGGGUAGUGGCUUACCAAGGCUUUGACGGGUAGCCGGCCUGAGAGGGUGACCGGGCCCAUGGGGCUUGAGGAAGGGCCAAGACUCCAACGGGGGGAAGGGGUGGGGAAUAGUGCCAAAUGGGCGGAGGCUGGGUGGAGGAUCGCCGGGUGGGGGAGGACGGCCUGGGGGUUGUAAACGGAUUUCGCUUGUAACGAAGCGUGGGUGACGGUAAUGGGUAAAGAAGCCCCGGCUAAUUACGU
rnacentral:rRNA from 1 species